rnacentral:rRNA from 1 species
UACGAAGGGGGCUAGCGUUGCUCGGAAUCACUGGGCGUAAAGCGCACGUAGGCGGCUUUCUAAGUCAGGGGUGAAAUCCUGGAGCUCAACUCCAGAACUGCCUUUGAUACUGGAGAGCUUGAGUCCGGGAGAGGUGAGUGGAACUCCUAGUGUAGAGGUGGAAUUCGUAGAUAUUAGGAAGAACACCAGUGGCGAAGGCGGCUCACUGGUCCGGUACUGACGCUGAGGUGCGAAAGCGUGGGGAGCAAACAGG